rnacentral:rRNA from 1 species
UAUAGAUGGAUCCGCGCUGCAUUAGCUAGUUGGUAAGGUAACGGCUUACCAAGGCAACGAUGCAUAGCCGACCUGAGAGGGUGAUCGGCCACACUGGAACUGAGACACGGUCCAGACUCCUACGGGAGGCAGCAGUAGGGAAUCUUCCGCAAUGGGCGAAAGCCUGACGGAGCAACGCCGCGUGAGUGAUGAAGGUCUUCGGAUCGUAAAACUCUGUUAUUAGGGAAGAACAUAUGUGUAAGUAACUGUGCACAUCUUGACGGUACCUAAUCAGAAAGCCACGGCUAACUACGUGCCAGCAGCCGCGGUAA